CUCUUUCUCUCUUCAGGAAAUACACAUAAAAGAAUGCAUAGAAAAAGAAGUAAAUCCUCACUUAUUACCAGGUGAACUGUUGCUUUGUGAGGCAAGCACAGUGUACAAGUAUAUACAAGAAGAUGGGUCAAAUCGUGGCACCUACGGGAAACUUGUAUGCACAAACUUCAAGAUUGCUUUCCUUGAUGAUGAUUCUGCUUCGGACGAUAACGAGCCACAACUUAAGAAUAAGAUUGUAGGAGAAAACGACAUAACCCUGCAAUGUGUAGAUCAAAUCUAUGGAGUUUAUGAUGAGAAAAAGAAACUUCUAACUGGACAAUUGAGAAAAUACCCAGAGAAGCUAAUUAUCUACUGUAAAGAUCUUAGAGUAUUUCAUUUCUGCCUGAGAUACACAAAAGAAGAAGAAGUGAAAAGA